CGAUAUUUGACAUCAUAAUUAAG
rnacentral:snRNA from 1 species